rnacentral:rRNA from 1 species
GACGAACGCUGGCGGCGUGCUUAACACAUGCAAGUCGAGCGGAAAGGCCCUGCUUUUGUGGGGUGCUCGAGUGGCGAACGGGUGAGUAACACGUGAGUAACCUGCCCUUGACUUUGGGAUAACUUCAGGAAACUGGGGCUAAUACCGGAUAGGAGCUCCUGCUGCAUGGUGGGGGUUGGAAAGUUUCGGCGGUUGGGGAUGGACUCGCGGCUUAUCGGCUUGUUGGUGGGGUAGUGGCUUACCAAGGCUUUGACGGGUAGCCGGCCUGAGAGGGUGACCGGCCACCUUGGGGCUGAGAUACGGGCCCGAACCCUACGGGGGGCCGCAGUGGGGAAUAAUGCCCAAAGGGGGGAAGGCUUAUGGAGGAACGCCGGGGGCGGGAUGAAGGGCUUUGGGUUGGAAACCGGUUUCCGCCUUGACGAAGCGGGAGGGACGGUAAUGGGUAAAGAAGCACCGGCUAACUACGUG